rnacentral:rRNA from 1 species
UACGUAGGGUGCGAGCGUAAUCGGAAUUACUGGGCGUAAAGCGUGCGUAGGCGGUUCGUUAAGUCAGCUGUGAAAGCCCCGGGCUCAACCUGGGAACUGCGGUUGAAACUGGCGAACUAGAAUCUGGCAGAGGGGGGUGGAAUUCCACGUGUAGCAGUGAAAUGCGUAGAGAUGUGGAGGAACACCGAUGGCGAAGGCAGCCCCCUGGGCUGAGAUUGACGCUCAGGCACGAAAGCGUGGGGAGCAAACAGG